GGCGAACGCUGGCGGCGUGCUUAACACAUGCAAGUCGAACGGAAAGGCCCUGCUUUUGUGGGGUGCUCGAGUGGCGAACGGGUGAGUAACACGUGAGCAACCUGCCCUUGACUUUGGGAUAACUUCAGGAAACUGGGGCUAAUACCGGAUAGGAGCUCCUGCUGCAUGGUGGGGGUUGGAAAGUUUCGGCGGUUGGGGAUGGACUCGCGGCUUAUCAGCUUGUUGGUGGGGUAGUGGCUUACCAAGGCUUUGACGGGUAGCCGGCCUGAGAGGGUGACCGGCCACAUUGGGACUGAGAUACGGCCCAGACUCCUACGGGAGGCAGCAGUGGGGAAUAUUGCACAAUGGGCGGAAGCCUGAUGCAGCAACGCCGCGUGCGGGAUGACGGCCUUCGGGUUGUAAACCGCUUUCGCCUGUGACGAAGCGUGAGUGACGGUAAUGGGUAAAGAAGCACCGGCUAACUACGUG
rnacentral:rRNA from 1 species